rnacentral:rRNA from 1 species
UACGGAAGGGGGCGAGCGUUGUUCGGAAUCAGUCUGGGCGUAAAGGGCGCGUAGGCGGCCAUUCAAGUCGGGAGGUGGAAAGCCCCAGGGCUCAACCCUGGAAUUGCCUUCGAUACUGUUUGGCUGGAGACCGGAAGAGGUAAGUGGAACUGCGAGUGUAGAGGUGAAAUUCGUAGAUAUUCGCAAGAACACCAGUGGCGAAGGCGGCUUACUGGUCCGGUUCUGGACGCUGAGGCGCGAAAGCGUGGGGAGCAACAGG